rnacentral:rRNA from 1 species
GGAGGAAUAUUGGUCAAUGGGCGAGAGCCUGAACCAGCCAAGUAGCGUGCAGGACGACGGCCCUAUGGGUUGUAAACUGCUUUUAUAAGGGAAUAAAGUGGGUCACGUGUGACUUUUUGCAUGUACCUUAUGAAUAAGGACCGGCUAAUUCCGUGCCAGCAGCCGCGGUAAUACGGAAGGUCCGGGCGUUAUCCGGAUUUAUUGGGUUUAAAGGGAGCGUAGGCCGGAGAUUAAGCGUGUUGUGAAAUGUAGUGGCUCAACCUCUGCACUGCAGCGCGAACUGGUCUUCUUGAGUACGCACAACGUGGGCGGAAUUCGUGGUGUAGCGGUGAAAUGCUUAGAUAUCACGAAGA